AAUAGAUACCCAGGUAGUCCACGCCGUAAACGAUGAGUGCUAAGUGUUAGAGGGUUUCCGCCCUUUAGUGCUGCAGCUAACGCAUUAAGCACUCCGCCUGGGGAGUACGGCCGCAAGGCUGAAACUCAAAGGAAUUGACGGGGGCCCGCACAAGCGGUGGAGCAUGUGGUUUAAUUCGAAGCAACGCGAAGAACCUUACCAGGUCUUGACAUCCUCUGACCUCCCUGGAGACAGGGCCUUCCCCUUCGGGGGACAGAGUGACAGGUGGUGCAUGGUUGUCGUCAGCUCGUGUCGUGAGAUGUUGGGUUAAGUCCCGCAACGAGCGCAACCCUUGACCUUAGUUGCCAGCAUUCAGUUGGGCACUCUAAGGUGACUGCCGGUGACAAACCGGAGGAAGGUGGGGAUGACGUCGAAAUCAUCAUGCCCCUUAUGACCUGGGCUACACACGUGCUACAAUGGAUGGUACAAAGGGCUGCGAGACCGCGAGGUUAAGCCAAUCCCAGAAAACCAUUCCCAGUUCGGAUUGCAGGCUGCAACCCG
rnacentral:rRNA from 1 species